CCCUUGUACACACCGCCCGUCACACCAUGAAAGCUGGUUUUACCAGAAGUCGCUGCGCUAACUUCGGAGGCAGGCGCCCAAGGUAAAGUCGGUGAUUGGGGUG
rnacentral:rRNA from 1 species